AAUGAACCCCCAUAGUUUUUAUUUUUAUUCUAUAUAUAUAAACAACUGUGUAUGAACAUUUUUCUAGGGUUUUGUUGAAAUGGAAAUGACAAGUAGACGAUCAAAUUAUACUUUAUUGAGUCAAGUACCCGAUGAUAAUUUCGUUCCUAGAGGUGGUGAUUGGGAAUUAAAUGAUCAACGUAAUUUGAUUCAACAACAACAACAACAACCAAUUAAUCGGAUCGGUGGUGGGUCGGCAUUUCAAGGUUUGCAAAGACAAUCAAGUGGUAGUAGUUUCGCUGAGAGUUCAAUAUCCGGUGAUUAUUACGUACCAUCAUUAUCUAAUGCUAAUGAAACGGCGUCGUUUGGGUGUUUAAAUAAGCCAUUGGAAGGAGGAGCUAAUGAUAAUAAUAAUAGUAAUUUGUGUGGUGGUUUGGGUUUGGGUUCGAGUUCGAAGAGUUGGGCACAACAAACUGAAGAGAGUUAUCAGUUGCAAUUAGCGUUGGCUUUAAGGCUUUCUUCUGAAGCUACUUGUGCUGAUGAUCCUAAUUUCUUGGAUCCCGUGCCGGACGUGGCGUCCCGGGGUUCCGUUUCAGCUGCUUCAGUCGAGACUCUUUCGCAUCGAUUUUGGGUAAAUGGAUGCUUGUCCUACUUUGACAAAGUGCCUGAUGGAUUUUACUUGAUUCAUGGGAUGGAUCCAUAUGUCUGGAUUGUCUGCUCAGAUCUACAAGAAAAUGCCCGCGUUCCAUCCAUUGAAUCAUUGAGAGCUGUUGAUCCCUCUGUAGUACCAUCAGUUGAAGUGAUUUUGGUUGAUCGGCGCACCGAUCCUAGCUUGAAAGAACUGCAGAAUCGGAUCCAAAAUCUCUCUCCUAGUUGCAUAACAACAAAAGAAGUAGUUGAUCAGCUUGCUAAUGUGGUCUGCAAUCAUAUGGGGGGCGCAGCUUCUGCUGGAGAAGAUGAGUUAGUUCCUUUGUGGAAGGAGUGCAGUGAUGACCUGAAGGAUUGUCUAGGAUCCAUCGUGCUUCCCAUUGGUAGCCUGUCUAUUGGCCUUUGUAGGCAUCGAGCUUUGCUAUUUAAAGUGCUUGCUGACAUAAUUGAUUUACCAUGUCGAAUUACCAAAGGAUGUAAAUAUUGUAAUAGAGCUGAUGCUUCCUCGUGUCUAGUUCGAUUUGGACUUGACAGGGAAUACCUGGUUGAUUUGAUUGGGAGCCCUGGAUGUUUAUGCGAACCAGAUUCCUCGCUCAAUGGCCCAUCUUCUAUAUCAAUUUCUUCACCAUUGCGAUUUCCGAGAUUCAGAGAAGUUGAACCAAAAACUGAUUUCAGGUCACUUGCCAAACAGUAUUUCUCGGAUUGUCAAUCGCUUAAUAUUGUGUUUGAGGAUUCUUCAGCAGGAGGUGCUGUUGAUGGAGAUGCAGGCCAAACUGACAGAAGUAACAUUGAGAGAAACAGUGCAGUCCCUAGUUCAAGUAACCGUGAUGACAUUUCUCGAUUACCUGUGCCUCCAAUUAAUGCAUGGAAAAAGGGUCAUGACAAAGACAGUCAACUUCCUGGUAUAUAUAAUCCUCAAAAUAUCUUAAGCUCAAUGAACAUGGUCAAGGAGAUGGCUCCUAUUAAGCAUGUACCUUCAGCUGGGCAUGGAGAUGCGCGACCGCUAAUGUCAUUAUCAGACCCAAGACAGAGGUUUCUUGAGGGAGGUAGUCAACUUGUUCCCGCUAAAACAAGUAGAGACCUUACCCUUGAAGUAGAAGAUUUUGAUAUUCCCUGGGAAGAUCUUAUUCUGAAGGAGAGGAUUGGGGCAGGAUCUUUUGGUACUGUUCACCGUGCUGAUUGGAAUGGCUCGGAUGUUGCGGUGAAGAUUCUCAUGGAACAAGAAUUUCAUCCAGUGCGAUUCCAGGAAUUUUUGCAGGAGGUUGCAAUUAUGAAGCGGUUGCGACAUCCAAAUAUUGUGCUUUUUAUGGGUGCUGUUACUCAGCGACCAAACUUGUCGAUAGUCACAGAAUAUUUAUCAAGAGGUAGCUUAUAUAGACUUCUUCAUAAAUCUGGUGCUAGGGAGGGUUUGGAUGAAAGGCGUCGGUUGGCUAUGGCAUACGAUGUGGCAAAGGGGAUGAAUUAUCUACAUAAACGCAAUCCUCCCAUUGUUCAUAGAGAUUUAAAAUCUCCAAAUCUUUUAGUGGACAAAAAAUACACAGUGAAGGUCUGUGAUUUUGGUCUUUCUCGUUUAAAAGCAAACACAUUUCUCUCAUCAAAGUCGGCUGCUGGGACUCCGGAGUGGAUGGCACCUGAAGUUCUUCGUGAUGAACCAUCAAAUGAGAAAUCUGAUGUAUACAGCUUUGGUGUCAUUUUGUGGGAGCUGGCAACCUUGCAACCACCUUGGGGUAAUUUGAACGCAGCGCAGGUUGUAGCAGCUGUCGGCUUUAAGGGGCAAAGACUCGAAAUUCCACAUGACUUGAAUCCUCAAGUGGCAAGCAUUAUUAAGGCUUGCUGGGUCAGAGAACCAUGGAAACGUCCCUCCUUUUCUGCAAUCAUGGAAAUGCUGAAACCGCUAAUUAAACCUCCUGCAGUACCUCCUCAACCAGGCCGUACAGACAUGCAGUUGCUUACGUGAAUGUGUGUGAUAGAUAUAUGAUUUCUGCACAUAUUUGUAUUCUUUGUCAAUCAUCUUCUGGGAGGGACAAGUCUUCGUUUACUUCAGGAUAAGGUUUGCGUAUAGUCUAAUCUUUCCCAGACUCCACUAAAUGAAAUGGAAUUUGUCUGCUCGGCCCAUACUAACCUUGAAGGAGGGAUAUAACUACAAGCACAAAAUCCAGUUGGGGUGGAUUCUUCCCCCAAGAAAUCCUAGCGUCUUUAGAGGUUGAAACCCCAUCUAUAGCACAAAAUACAUGCCAGGGGAUACUUCUGAAAUGGUUUGCUGGGAUCGUCUGUUCAUUAUUUACAUGAAACAAAAUAUUUAUCAGAUUGCUCUUGAAGAACAUCCUACACAAUUACAAACAAGAUGAGGGUAAUCAAAUCAUUGAGCAGGAUUGUUUCUUUUAUGACCGAGAAAUUGGUCUGGGGCCAACCCUUAGAACCAAAGCGCAACCUUCAAAACUAUAGAAUAAUGGGUCCACCACUCUACCUUUCUCCACUCAAAUAUGAGGCUUAGUUUGAUGGAAGGCUCGAACUUCCCUCAUCCUUUGCCCCGUGAACGAAGCCCUGAGCUGGAUUUGCUUGUUUUUUGCUACAUCACUGCUUACCUACAUAAACUCCAACAACAACAACAACGAAAAAAAAAAGAGACUGGUUGAUUGAGGGUAGAAUAACCAAGCAGAUCGGCUGCCCUGAAAGAUGUAAACACAAUUUAAAAAAGCAAAAAUGUGAAAACUGGCUGUGUAAGGUUCUUUUUUUUUUUUUUUUUUUUUUUUUUUUUUUUGAGACUGAAGUUGUGUAAGCUAUUUUAGGCAUGAAACACUUAACAGGUCAACAAACUUUACAUAGCACUGAGAGGAUUGUUUGACGUGAGUCUCACUGUACUAGCAUGUUCCCAAUUAUUCAUUUGUCAAUGCAAAACAUGUUUGUCGUUAACAUGUCCCUCAAAGGCAUCCACGUCGUGAAUCAUAACACAGCCUCUGGUUUUUGGACUUAUCAUUUGAACAACGAAAAGCAGAUGAUAUAUGAAUAGAUACAUGUAAUGCACAGCUGAUUUCAUUAGCUCGAAAAUCAUUUACUCGAACCAACUUGGUUUAAGAGUCAUGACUUCAUCUUCCUCCUCCACCACUCGACUCAUUUCCUCUUUUUUUGUUUUUUUUUUUUGGAAACCGGUAAUGUUGUAUUCCCCAGCAUUUAGGAUAUACUGGCCACCAUCAAAAGAACAAAAAGCAGUAACAAGAAAGAAAAUACUUACAGAGAGCCUAAGAAAUCUACAAGGUCUAUUUCCUCCUCUUUACACCAAAAGUGAAAAGAUAAAAUACAAUUCCAUUCAACUAAGUGGAUGGAAUUGGACCUAUCUUCAAAGCUUCUGCUAUUCCUUUCCUUCCACACUGUCCACCAAAUGCAAAGUGGAAGUAUUCUCCACCGUUUCUUCUGACUCUUGCUUCCUCCUCUUCUAAUCCAACGGCUCAACAAAUCUGCAGUAUGCUCAGGCAUGGUCCAUAUUGUAUUUGUAAGACUAAAGAAUAUUGACCAUAGUUGUGAUGUGAAACUGCACUGCAAAAAAAGAUGAUUGUUGGUCUCUUCAGUUUCGCCACAUAAUUGACAUCUUGAAACAAUGAUCUGGCCCUUUUUCUCCAAAACUUCUUGUGUCAAACAGGCCCUUCUGACCACCAACCAUGUGAAGCAUUUUACCUUAGUUGGUGUUAUGUUUUUCCACACAUUUCUCCACAAUAUUUGCUGGUUUCUGUUUGGUUGCAUAUUAGUUAACCUGUGGGCCUUGUUGACCCAGAAUACCCCAUCCUUGCUAUGCAUCCACCUCAAAGCAUCUGGCUCUGAGGUGGUGCCUUUGAACUCCUUCAGGCUAUGUAACAAAUUGGCCACCCUAUCCACUUCCCAAUCAUUCAGCAAUCUUCUAAAAGAGAGAUUCCAUCCCUGAUCUGACCAGCAUUCAUUGACAGUGCCCUCUGGAUUAUUGCAUAUGCUAUACAAGUCAGGAAAUGAGUCCUUUAAAGGCCUCUGAUUGUUCCAGCUAUCUCCCCAAAACUUUUCUUAGUCCCAUCUCCCACUUUUAUGUUCAAAUUGCUUUCCAGACUUGGCCACAGAUUUCUAAUUGUUCUCCAGACUCCUGCCCCAUAAGGGUUUGAACUAACAUUACUGCACCAUGGAUUUAAUUCCCCAUAUUAGCUUUUGAUCACCUCCUUCCAUAGGGCUUGUCCGUCCUUCAUUGUAUCUCCACAACCACUUCAUUAGGAGGCUGUCGUUCUGCUUUCACUCGACUCAUUUCCUCUUAGUCUCCCCUUAUAAUUAAUCUCCAAAAGUUGAACUCCACUGCCUAUUUUCAAGCACCUCAUACAAGCAAUUAUUGUUUAAAUGGAGGCAACUUAUCAAACUGAUAGUGCCACAAAGCACGAAUUCAUCUUCCAGAUGAUUAGAAAGUCAUCAGAACCUAUGUUGCUCGGACUCUUCAAAAAUGGACAGGGGUGCGUGUCGGAUCCUCCAAAAGUAAUGCAUUUUCGAAGGAUCCGACAUAGUUGCGACAUCAUUUUUGGAGAGUCCGAGCAACAUAGAUCAGAUCAGCCUGCUGAAUCUGAUAAACAGCAUAGACGGUGUUAGAUUUUUUGUUUUUUAUAUACUCCAAACGACGGCUCGAAGUUAUGCCGGGCCAUGUCAAAGAAAUUCACACCCACCCACAAUUCCUGUAGCAACACCUUAGGGAAAAUAAACUUAUUGACUCGACCACUUCAUCAUUUUCCUUGAAGAAUCAACCACUUAAUAUCUUUACAAGGUACCAAAGAAGACCGAAAACUACUAAGAAAAAUCUUUCUUCUAAUGUUAUUUACAACACAAAAAAAAAAAAAAAAAAAAAAAAAAAAAAAAGUAUUUACAUCCCUAACAACAUUGUCACCAUUACAAAUCAUUACAACAGAAACAAUAACUACCCCCAAUCUCGAACAUGUUGGAGUCUGUUAAACUAUUACAACAUCAAUCAUAAAACAAAAACAAAA